rnacentral:rRNA from 1 species
UACGUAGGGUGCGAGCGUUGUCCGGAAUUACUGGGCGUAAAGAGCUCGUAGGUGGUUUGUCGCGUUGUCCGUGAAAUUCCCUGGCUUAACUGGGGGCGUGCGGGCGAUACGGGGCAGACUGGAGUACUGCAGGGGAGACUGGAAUUCCUGGUGUAGCGGUGGAAUGCGCAGAUAUCAGGAGGAACACCGGUGGCGAAGGCGGGUCUCUGGGCAGUAACUGACGCUGAGGAGCGAAAGCGUGGGGAGCGAACAGGAUUAGAUACCCUGGUAGUCCACGCCGUAAACGGUGGGUACUAGGUGUGGGUUUCCUUCCUUGGGAUCCGUGCCGUAGCUAACGCAUUAAGUACCCCGCCUGGGGAGUACGGCCGCAAGGCUGAAACU